GGGAAACAGGUUAAUAUUCCUGUACUUGGUGUUACUGCGAAGGGGGGACGGAGAAGGCUAUGUUGGCCGGGCGACGGUUGUCCCGGUUUAAGCGUGUAGGCUGGUUUUCCAGGCAAAUCCGGAAAAUCAAGGCUGAGGCGUGAUGACGAGGCACUACGGUGCUGAAGCGACAAAUGCCCUGCUUCCAGGAAAAGCCUCUAAGCAUCAGGUAACAUCAAAUCGUACCCCAAACCGACACAGGUGGUCAGGUAGAGAAUACCAAGGCGCUUGAGAGAACUCGGGUGAAGGAACUAGGCAAAAUGGUGCCGUAACUUCGGGAGAAGGCACGCUGAUAUGUAGGUGAAGCGACUUGCUCGUGGAGCUGAAAUCAGUCGAAGAUACCAGCUGGCUGCAACUGUUUAUUAAAAACACAGCACUGUGCAAACACGAAAGUGGACGUAUACGGUGUGACGCCUGCCCGGUGCCGGAAGGUUAAUUGAUGGGGUUAGCGGUAACGCGAAGCUCUUGAUCGAAGCCCCGGUAAACGGCGGCCGUAACUAUAACGGUCCUAAGGUAGCGAAAUUCCUUGUCGGGUAAGUUCCGACCUGCACGAAUGGCGUAAUGAUGGCCAGGCUGUCUCCACCCGAGACUCAGUGAAAUUGAACUCGCUGUGAAGAUGCAGUGUACCCGCGGCAAGACGGAAAGACCCCGUGAACCUUUACUAUAGCUUGACACUGAACAUUGAGCCUUGAUGUGUAGGAUAGGUGGGAGGCUUUGAAGUGUGGACGCCAGUCUGCAUGGAGCCGACCUUGAAAUACCACCCUUUAAUGUUUGAUGUUCUAACGUGGGCCCCUUACCGGGGUUGCGGACAGUGUCUGGUGGGUAGUUUGACUGGGGCGGUCUCCUCCUAAAGAGUAACGGAGGAGCACGAAGGUUGGCUAAUCCUGGUCGGACAUCAGGAGGUUAGUGCAAUGGCAUAAGCCAGCUUGACUGCGAGCGUGACGGCGCGAGCAGGUGCGAAAGCAGGUCAUAGUGAUCCGGUGGUUCUGAAUGGAAGGGCCAUCGCUCAACGGAUAAAAGGUACUCCGGGGAUAACAGGCUGAUACCGCCCAAGAGUUCAUAUCGACGGCGGUGUUUGGCACCUCGAUGUCGGCUCAUCACAUCCUGGGGCUGAAGUAGGUCCCAAGGGUAUGGCUGUUCGCCAUUUAAAGUGGUACGCGAGCUGGGUUUAGAACGUCGUGAGACAGUUCGGUCCCUAUCUGCCGUGGGCGCUGGAGAACUGAGGGGGGCUGCUCCUAGUACGAGAGGACCGGAGUGGACGCAUCACUGGUGUUCGGGUUGUCAUGCCAAUGGCACUGCCCGGUAGCUAAAUGCGGAAGAGAUAAGUGCUGAAAGCAUCUAAGCACGAAACUUGCCCCGAGAUGAGUUCUCCCUGACUCCUUGAGAGUCCUGAAGGAACGUUGAAGACGACGACGUUGAUAGGCCGGGUGUGUAAGCGCAGCGAUGCGUUGAGCUAACCGGUACUAAUGAACCGUGAGGCUUAACCUUACAACGCCGAAG
rnacentral:rRNA from 1 species